rnacentral:rRNA from 1 species
UAUCUCUGUAGAGUCUGCAUAUCAAUAAGCGGAGGAAAAGAAACUAACAAGGAUUCCCUUAGUAACGGCGAGUGAAGCGGGAAGAGCUCAAAUUUGAAAUCUUCAAGGUUCUACCUUGACGAAUUGUAGUUUAAAGAAGUGUUUUCUGUUAGAUGAGUAGCAAAAGUUCCUUGGAAUGGGACAUCAUAGAGGGUGAGAAUCCCGUAUUUGGUUAUUCAUUCUAGCUUUGUGAUACACUUUCAAAGAGUCGGAUUGUUUGGGAAUGCAGUCCAAAAUGGGUGGUAAAUUUCAUCUAAAGCUAAAUAUUGGCGAGAGACCGAUAGCGAACAAGUACCGUGAGGGAAAGAUGAAAAGAACUUUGAAAAGAGAGUUAAACAGUACGUGAAAUUGUCAAAAGGGAAGCGUUUGACACCAGUGUUGUUUUUCCGAAAAUCAAUUACGAAUGGCUUGAUUUUGUGUUGUAUUGACCUUAUCAGCUUUCUUCACUUUUUUCGAGUCUUUCUUAAUGCACUUUUUCGGUUAACAAGUCAACAUCAAUUUCUUUUGUUGUAAAAGAGUAUUCGGAAGGUGGCUUUCUUUUCGGAGAAAGUGUUUAUAGCCCUAUACUUCUACAAUCGGAGAGAUUGAGGUCUGCAGCGUAGAUCCUUCGGGGUUAGAUACACUUUGUGCUAAGUUGUAGCUUUUCAUAGACAACUUGUUGACUAUGUUUAGUCAUGCGGCUUACUCGCUUAGUGCUAUUUUACCUACGCUUAGGAUGUUGACUGAUAUGUAGUCGUA